rnacentral:rRNA from 1 species
AAAAUUUAAAAUAAAAAUACUAAAAUAGUAGAUAAAUAUUUAUUGAAACUUAAAUAAUUUGGCGGUAUUUUAGUUCAUUUAGAGGAAUCUGUUUAAUAAUUGAUAUUCCACGAAUAAAUUUACUUAAUUUAUAAUUUUGUAUAUCGUUGUUAUAAAAAUAUUUUUUAAUAAAAUUAAUAUUUAAAAAUUAAUAUAGUAAAUUAAAUCCGAUCAAGAUGCCGAUUACAAUUAAGAAUAUAAUGGAUUACAAUAAAUUUAUUUAAAUAUGGAUUUUAAUUUGUAAUAUUUAAUUGAAGGUGGAUUUAAAUGUAAUUUUAUUUAAUUUAAUAAAAUGAUUAAAAAUUAAAAUAUGU